UGAAGAAAAUUUCAACUGUGGUCUACAUGAGAGAUUAUAGUGGGUAGUAGUGGUUUGCACCCAUUUGAACACAAUUGCGAGUAGUCCAUCAAGUUCAGAAACUUCAUGUGACACUUCAGCUUCUAAUUGCAUCAAGCUGUUUUAGGUGGAGCAUCAGGUUAUUUAUUUUUCUGAUGUGGGAACUCAGUGCAAUAAAUUUUCCUCUGAGGAUGGCUUUCAUUGCAUCCCACAGUUUCCCGAAAUGUUAAAUGGCCUAUCUGGUUGCCUGAGUGUGCUGUCUGGCUGUAUCAUGGACCCAAAGCCAGAGAACGAGUUGAUUCCACCCUCUCAAGAAGCUGAUGCUCAGUCCUAUGACGGUGAUGCCUCAGAGACCAUACAACAACUGACAGAAAAGUAUGAAGCUAGAACCAACCUUAAUUGACCCAGGAUGUCCAAGAGAUGGUAACCAAAAAUAAAACCAAAGGUCUAAAUAGAUGAUAGAAGUGUGUGCUAAUUCCUAUGCCAAAAAUAUCGGUUAAUUAUAGGUAAGAUUUUGUCCUUUUCAAAUUCUUUUUACGAGAGAUCUCUGCUAAUUGACCUACUACAAAUCUGACUAUAUUCUGUUUAUAGUUAUAAAUUCUACAAUUGCAAAAAGUUAGUGUAAUUCAAUUUGGCUACCAUAUAUUUGAAUGCACUCUGAUUGGGUAAAAUGUUUGUCAGUUUGUCUGUGUACAUGUUUCUUCUGUCUGUUCUUCUGGUCUGUUAAGCAGUUGUUGGAAGUCAACUGAAUUAGUGAUUGUUCACACGUGCAGAGCCAAAAGCACAAGUGCCUGUACAGAAGUGCCCAGGUGUCACAGACCAUCUAAGAAAUGCCCUGAGAGCAUGGGGUGCUGGAGGUGAGAGGUGUUCCAACCUCAAGAACAUGGGGUAUAAGAAGCAAGCUAGUUCAGCAAAGAGGCAUGAAACAAGUGUAUAAAUUGGCCUUGGGAACUUAGAGAAUUCUUGUGGACACAAACAACUCUGCUUGUUUCUGGGUCUGUUAGAAUCUAUAUAGAUUGUCUGUCCAUGUUUGUCCACUUGUCCUUUCUGUAAACAGUUGUUCUUUUUUAUUUGAGCUCAACAAUUUUUUCUUCCUUUUUUUAAAUUUUUAGAUCAUCUCAUCAAAAUAUCAUUGGAGUAAUAGACUUAAAAAGCAUGUUUCUGCUCAGUUCAAAUGAUGCUACAAUUGGUUGGAAAAUGUAAGGUACAUUGUUGUUUAUUAUAACUUGAGAAUCUCUCAUUGUUCAACAGUAUGUUAAAUGUUAUGAUUGGAUUUUUCUUAAGUCAUCAAAAAAAUUAUUAAGAUGAUUAAACAAAAUCCCUUGGGGGGGGAGAGAUUAUUGGACAGGACUUCAAUUGAUGAAUAAGAAAACGGCCACCUAGUAACAUUUAACCAGCUCUUGUUCAUUGAUUAUUGAUCAUUGAUAGCCUUAUUAGAGAUACCCCAAUUAAAGUUAUAAAAAUAUAUUCUUGUAAUAUGUUCACAUUGUUCAUCAGAAAAAAUAAUAAUACAAUAAGGCUUCUGAUCUAAAGGUGCCCAUACAAAACUUUUCAUGUGGCUAUGACAGAUUGCUAUUAACCUUAUAGUGUAUCAUUGUAUUCAUGAUUCAAGAUGUACAGGUUUCUCAAAAUAUAAAACAGGGAUUGUUUAUAGUGAUAGAAUAUUGUUUCAGAUUCAGACUUCUGCCUAUAAUAAAAACUUACAAGAUGUACAUCCUACUAAUGGUAACCAAGUUAGGUAAAAGGUUAUGUAUUAGAUAGAGAUGAUGGACUAAAAGGAGAUAUUGGGUGUCAAAUGAAAAUUCAUACAUGUUAUAAAAUGUCAUAAGAUUGCCAUACUAUAAUGUUGUAUAUGGGUUGGAUUUCUAAUUUUCUGUGUAAAAUAUGUAACUGUUAACAUUCGAUAGGUAUUCAAAUGUUAAAACAUCCAUGGUUGUUAAAAAAUAAAGUUCCAUUUUAUAUUCUAAGAUGCUUGAUAUUUAGAUAAGAUAGUAAUGUUAAGCUUACUGCCUCUACUACAUUGUUAUCAAUCUUUUCUUCUGGAUAUGCAACAGCUGAGGUUUAGAGAUAAAAAAUAAGACAGACAGAAAGACUAAGACGACAGCUAAUAUUUUGGCCCUAGCUUCCUGAGAUCAAUGAGAGUCCAGGGCAUUACAGAAUCUCUGCUGCAAUGUCCUGUACUCAGUGAGUCCCUAGUCUUCUGAUCAAGAAGAUUAUGAUACCACAGAGGAAAAUGAUCACCAGUGUGUGGAGUGCCUAUGGAGAAUCACCAGGAAAAAAGGUCUCCCAAGCUUUCACAGAAAGCAGCUUGAUCAAACAGUGGCCAUCAUUCAUCCAGACAGAAAGCUGAGAGAUGCUAUGCAUGGUACCAAGGCAUUUACUGUAGAGGAGACUUAACUGACCUUGGUAGAUAACAAAAACUGGUUGUUUUUAAAACAGGUCUCCUUAAGUUGGUCUUUAUGUCCUGCAGAAAACAUACAAUUACUAGAGAUAUAUAAAACAAUGCUAAAGUAGUACGCUAUAAAAGAAACUCAAGUCACCUAAUACCUCCUGACAAUUGCCAGCUACACUGAUAGCUGUCUAUUGUUAUGGAUUAAUGGACUGUACAGGGUUUCAAUUGCAGAAUGCAGGAACUUAAAAUCCUGGGACUGCACUUAAAAUGAGAACUGUUCAACAAUGAAGAGAUCUUCUACACAGUUCUUCAAAUACAACUCCUCCAGCUUCGACUGACUCCUCAUCCUGUUCUACAACAAAACAAAAAAGAGGGAUAUGCAGGGAGCUGUUGAAGCCAGAUUGAUCACAUGUGUGGGGCUAAAGCGAGGCCAUCCCAGAAAACACAGAAAGCCUCAAACAAGCUAUAUCAACAAGCUGUUGCAACACCAAGAAGGCAAGGGGCCCAGGCCAGCCAGGAAAACAAGUUUCUAGGCAGUGGGCUUGAAGCUGACAUUUUCUUUGAGUGUAUAAAUAAACAUGCUACAGUGGUUGAGCAGUUCCUUUGCUCCCAAGAGGAGGCUAAGUCCUCCACUGAGCUCCCUCCACCCAAAAAAGACUUGCACAGAAUCCAUUCUUACUUAACGAUAUUUUGGGGAAAAAAAAAACUAGUGUGAUAUUCUACCUAGUGUUUACAUGACUAAGAUGCUAAGCAAAUUAGGAAAUAAGUAACUUUCUGUUACCAUACUUAAAGGUGGUAUUCAUUAAGGACAGGCUAAGCUUGGAUCUUUUAGAAGAUGAGGAUCAUGUUCCAAUAAAAGGGAGAUGACAGCUUUUGAAUCCAUAUAUAAAAUAGCUACCUCUCAUCUGGCACAUUCAUUUCACUAUAUUUUGAGAUGCUAACAUCCUCCUUCACUAUAGACAAACCGUAAUUUCUGAGACUACCAGACAUGACAGAGCUUAAUUGUUAUUAUGUCUGCAAUUCAGAAAUAU